UACAGAGGGUGCGAGCGUUGUCCGGAAUCACUGGGCGUAAAGGGCGCGUAGGCGGCCCCUCAUGCGUGCCGUGAAAGCCCGGGGCUCAACCCCGGGUCGGCGGUGCGAACGGGGGGGCUGGAGCACAUCAGAGGCAGGCGGAAUUCCGGGUGUAGCGGUGGAAUGCGUAGAGAUCCGGAAGAACACCGGUGGCGAAGGCGGCCUGCUGGGGUGUGGCUGACGCUGAGGCGCGACAGCGUGGGGAGCAAACAGG
rnacentral:rRNA from 1 species